rnacentral:lncRNA from 1 species
AAACUAUAUAAGAAGACCUGAAGCUCAAUAAGUGAUUCUUGAUUUAUUAUUACCCUUAAUCCCCAACCCCCACUCCUCGACCUAUUAUGUUACAACAACAACAACCAAAAAGCCUAUUUGGAAGGAAAGUGCUUAGAAGUUAAUAGAGAACUGAGGUCACGGGGCAAACUGCUGCCUGAAAACUGGAGAGACAGACAGACGGAUAUAAAGAAUUGCAGCUUACCAGAGGAUCACGGUUUAACAGGAGUGGAAGCCAGCAGCUGAAGCCAACAGCACAGUUGGAGCCAAUUAUCACUAGAAACACUUUAAACCGUAACUGAGGAACUGAUGGAGGCUCUGUGUGGACCAGCUUGAAAGUUAAAAACUCCAAAGGGGCUCAGCCUUAGAGAGGCCCCACGACUUUUCUGAGUUUUACCUCUAGAAGCCCUAACAGAAUCUCACUGUGAAGAUCUGAGAAAAAUCUCCUCUUGUAUUUUGCAGGAGGAGGGGAAAAUUAACCCCUUUGAAAUAAUCCCAGAGCUCUCUGUUCUUCUUAACAAGGUCUGCCCUCAAGGGAAACAUUUUACCAGAGCUUAACUGACCUUGGGGAAGGAAAACACCCAACUCUAGCCCCCUAUAGUGUUCAACUUGGGAGAAGGGAAAUACUCAACUCAGGUUCACUAGAACACUGAGUAACACUAUAGCGUGCUUUCCCUCCUCCCACACCUUACCAUAACACCACACCGGUCCAGCUCCUACAUAAUAACAGGGGAUUACAGCUAAAAGAACUGCAAGCCUCAGACCCUAUUUAAAGAGUCACUAGGGACAUCCAAAGACAACAAGAGAAACAAAAACAAGGACCCUAGAGGAAAUUUUAGCCUCAGACACCACAGCUACAGCAAACAACACAACCUAACACCUAGCCAGAUAAACAUAACUUCAUAGUAAAGGCCUAUCUUUCUAAGUGCCUUUUACCUGAUACAGCAUAUCUGGCUUUCAACAAAAAAAAAAUUUACGAGACAUGCUAAAAGGCAAAAACAUGGGCUUGGGGUACUGUGCCGCAUCUCUAGCUGACUGAGGGGGCCACGGACUAAGACGAUGGAUGGUUGAGCUUUUGCUUCUUGCUGUAUUUCCUUGAAGCUAGUUCAUUAUCCUACAGUCCCUUCAUCUUCCACAACCAGCCUGCUUUUUCAGCCCUUAACCUAAUCCAUCAGGUAAAUAGGUUCAUGAAGAAUGUUAAGUACUCCUGAAUCAUGUGACUUAGAACAGAGAUGGCAAAUGAAUGACACACCAUCAUUCCUCACCACCCUCCCCCCAUGGUAGGUACACUAACCUGCUUCAGAAUGUUUUCCGCUAAUCCCCAGUGUAGCCUCAUUUCUCAAGAUUCCCUCAGCAGCUGGUAUAAAUGUUGAGACCUAUUUGCCAUCCCUAGCUGAGAUACUGCUCUCCUGUGGAGAAGUGUUUCCUA